rnacentral:misc_RNA from 1 species
GAUGAAGAACGUAGCGAAAUGCGAUACGUAAUGUGAAUUGCAAAUUCAGUGAAUCAUCGAGUCUUUGAACGCACAUUGCGCCCCCUGGUAUUCCGGGGGGCAUGCCUGUCCGAGCGUCAUUGCUGCCCUCAAGCACGGCUUGUGUGUUGGGCCCCGUCCUCCGAUCCCGGGGGACGGGCCCGAAAGGCAGCGGCGGCACCGCGUCCGGUCCUCGAGCGUAUGGGGCUUUGUCACCCGCUCUGUAGGCCCGGCCGGCGCUUGCCGAUCAACCCAUCAUCCUUUUCAGGUUGACCUCGGAUCAGGUAGGGAUACCCGCUGAACUUAAGCAUAUCAAUAAGCGGAGGA